rnacentral:rRNA from 1 species
AUGAGUUGCUUUCAGCUCACCAAAAAAUUAUGCGGGAACCUGACAUCUAUCUCUUCUAACUUUUGGUGGGGUGAAGCUAAUGGUGAGAAAAAGGUUCAUUGGAUUGCCUGGAAGAAAAUGUGUGUCAGCAAGCAGGAGGGGGGGAUGGGAUUUCGUGAUAUGGAAGCAUUCAACCAGGCCUUGCUUGCCAAGCAGGCAUGGAGACUACUCCGGGUCCCUUCUUAUCUUUGUGCUCGAGUCCUCAAAGCGCGCUACUAUGAGCAUGGCUCUAUCCUUAAUGCAACCUGUCCCUGUUGGGGAACGUAG